UUGUAGUUGUACUCAUCCAAGAUCCUCCUUUCCGCAUGUUCUUCCUUCAACUGGUCCUGGUCCGAUCAACGCUAACCUCGAAGCGACUACCUCGAAAGCGACAAACAAGGCGAAACAAUCAAACCACUAGACCUCGAAAGACUACGAAAAGAGACGACAUGACACUGAGGAUCAACUACACUAAAAGAGCAACGAAAGGAAAACGGCUUAGCCCUCUCGGCGGAUGUCCGAUCUCUGGGCUAAAAGAAAUGGGAAUGGUUGUUCACUAAGUACAAGCUGGAGUCUUAGCCUAGCCGGUACUUCCUGGGUCGACUAAGUCAACCUGUACGACUUUAAUAAUUGGCUUAGACCCUAACUUAUCAUAAGCAAACACCAUAGCUAGUGGCUCUUCGAUCCAAGCGUCACGGAGAUCGACAGGAAUCGAAAAGACUAUGAGCACGCGAAGUUCCGGUCUCUCUCAAUCCAUACGCCAUUGUAGUUGGCGAGAGCCAAGAGAGGGUGGAACAAGGAGAGAAGAAAAGGGGAGUGGUCUACUUCUUCCCAUCCACUCGCCAUGGUAAGAGACGGGGGAUUAGAAAGUGUGACACACAAGGAACACGAGUACUCAAACCACUUGUAGGGUACCACAACCUAGGUGCACUAAAUGCACUAUGACAUC
rnacentral:lncRNA from 1 species